GUUUUUAUAGUUUAUCAAAAAUAUUGGUCUUGUAAACCAAAGAUUAAUUUUUUAUAAAAACU
rnacentral:tRNA from 1 species